UACGUAGGGGGCAAGCGUUGUCCGGAAUCAUUGGGCGUAAAGAGCGUGUAGGCGGCCAGAAAAGUCCGCUGUGAAAACUCGAGGCUCAACUUCGAGCUGUCGGUGGAAACUUUCUGGCUAGAGUCCGGAAGAGGAGAGUGGAAUUCCUGGUGUAGCGGUGGAAUGCGCAGAUAUCAGGAGGAACACCAAUGGCGAAGGCAGCUCUCUGGUACGUGACUGACGCUGAGACGCGAAAGCGUGGGGAGCGAACAGG
rnacentral:rRNA from 1 species